AGUAACUGCGAGUGAAGCGGGAAAAGCUCAAAUUUAAAAUCUGGUGGUCUUUCGGCCAUCCGAGUUGUAAUUUAGAGAAGCGUCUUCCGCGCUGGACCGUACACAAGUCUCCUGGAACGGAGCGUCAUAGAGGGUGAGAAUCCCGUCUUUGGUACGGACCCCCAGGGCUUCUGUGAUGCGCUCUCGAAGAGUCGAGUUGUUUGGGAAUGCAGCUCAAAAUGGGUGGUGAACUCCAUCUAAAGCUAAAUAUUGGCGAGAGACCGAUAGCGAACAAGUACCGUGAGGGAAAGAUGAAAAGCACUUUGGAAAGAGAGUGAAACAGUACGUGAAAUUGUUGAAAGGGAAACGCUUAAAGUCAGUCGCGUCCGCCGAGACUCAGCCUCGCUCCGGCUUGGUGUAUUUCUCGGUCGACGGGUCAGCGUCAAUUUCACCCCUCGGAUAAUGGCAAUGGAAAGGUGGCACCUUUGCGGGUGUGUUAUAGUCCUUUGUCGCAUGCGAGGGGUGGGAUUGAGGAACUCAGCACGCGCGCCCUCUGGGGUGUGUCGGGGCCUCGGCCCACGCCACGUGCUUAGGAUGCUGGCGUAAUGGCUUUAAACGACCCGUCUUGAAACACGGACCAAGGAGUCUAACAUGCCCGCGAGUGUUCGGGUGGAAAACCCGUGCGCGUAAUGAAAGUGAAAGUUGGGACCUUCGUCGUGAAGGGCACCGACGCCCGGACCAGACCUUCUGUGACGGAUCUGCGGUGGAGCGUGCAUGUUGGGACCCGAAAGAUGGUGAACUAUGCCUGAAUAGGGUGAAGCCAGAGGAAACUCUGGUGGAGGCUCGUAGCGAUUCUGACGUGCAAAUCGAUCGUCAAAUUUGGGUAUAGGGGCGAAAGACUAUCGAACAUCUAGUA
rnacentral:rRNA from 1 species